rnacentral:rRNA from 1 species
UACGUAGGGUGCAAGCGUUAUUCGGAAUAACUGGGCGUAAAGGGCGUGUAGGCGGCUCGAGAAGUCUGGCGUUAAAUCUCUCGGCUCAACCGAGAGCUCGCGUUGGAAACCAUCGAGCUUGAGUAUUGCAGGGGUGGGUGGAAUUCCCGGUGUAGCAGUGAAAUGCGUUGAUAUCGGGAGGAACACCAAUGGCGAAGGCAGCCCACUAGGCAAUUACUGACGCUGAGGCGCGAAAGCGUGGGGAGCGAACAGG